AUUGAACGCUGGCGGCAUGCCUUACACAUGCAAGUCGAACGGCAGCACGGGAGCAAUCCUGGUGGCGAGUGGCGAACGGGUGAGUAAUGUAUCGGAACGUGCCCAGUCGUGGGGGAUAACGUAGCGAAAGCUACGCUAAUACCGCAUACGAUCGAUGGAUGAAAGCGGGGGAUCGCAAGACCUCGCGCGAUUGGAGCGGCCGAUAUCAGAUUAGGUAGUUGGUGGGGUAGAGGCUCACCAAGCCGACGAUCUGUAGCUGGUCUGAGAGGACGACCAGCCACACUGGGACUGAGACACGGCCCAGACUCCUACGGGAGGCAGCAGUGGGGAAUUUUGGACAAUUGGCGCAAGCCUGAUCCAGCAAUGCCGCGUGCAGGAUGAAGGCCUUCGGGUUGUAAACCGCUUUUGUACGGAACGAAACGGCGAGCUCUAAUACAGUUUGCUAAUGACGGUACCGUAGGAAUAAGCACCGGCUAACUACGUGCCAGCCGCCGCGGUAA
rnacentral:rRNA from 1 species